UGUUGUGAUGCUUAUUAAAUAGGAUUAUUAUGGUUAUGAUUUGUUGGAUGUUUAGGUACAACUUCAACAUCAUAAUAAUGUGGCAUUUAAUGUCAAUUUUCCAAUUGAGAAGCAGGUCCAAAACCAAUAGAUGGCUUAUGGGCCCCUUGGUGGUAUAAAACUGUACACAAAUCUACUAGCUUUAAGGAAGAAAACAAGUAUCCUCAGGUAUGCAUUUGUUUUUUGGUGUGCCUUCACUUUAGUUCCUGUUGCAAGGAGUCUAGACCAUUAAUUCUUUCCCUUUGUAAUAUUUUCUUUUUUCCUUUUUCUUUUUUUCUUCUCUUUUUAUAUAGGAAAUAAUCAAUCUCCAUGUAAUGAUGCCAUGUGCUUAAUGGCUGCUUCAGAGUUGAGAAUUAAGUUAUGGUGCUAUGCUUGUGAAUUGACUUGGUUUGAGACUUUUCCAAAUUUUAUUUUUGUAAUCUUACUUGAUGAAAAAUGUUUUAUAUAUUGAUUGUUUUUGUGUAAUAACAGUUGUCUAGAACCAACUCUUCUAAAAGCUUAAGCUUUUGAGUAGAGGCAUAACAAUGGUUUUAGACAAUGCACAUGCCUUCUUUACCUCAUGUUGGCAUUUAGUUAUAAAGAAUAGUGAGGUCUUGAAGAAUUUUCCUACAAUACAAGGAUUUUCUUUCCUUGUUUUUGGAUGUACAUGUACUUAACAAAUCUGUUACAAGGUGGAGAAGUGCAACCAUUGCAGGAAUAAGACCCAAACAUGUCCUUUUACAUUUUUUUAUCCAACAAAUUUGAUAAAAUAGACCUCUUAUCCAAAUUAUGUUAUAUUUAUUCUAUUAACCUUAUUAUUUUAUUAUCCGUGGGAUAGAAUCAGAUGUUUCUUUCAUCCAAAAUCAAACUUUAGUCUACAAUAUUGUGAAAAAAGCCUUAUUUUGUCCGCUACAACAAUAUCGUUGGUAUUCUGUUAACCUUGUUUGUUGAUUAUUCUCUUUUUGUCUAUUUUUUUGUGAAGGCAAAACUGCACUUUUCAUUCCUUAACUUCACCGUAGAUUUUUUUGUGUCCUACAACUAAUCUCAUUUUGUUUUGGUCAAUUAGUAUUUAGUAGUUAUGCACAAGACUCCUACUCCUAGUGGCCUAGUCUAAAGACUAAAAGUAGAAAAUCAUUUUCUUGUUACCAUUAUGAUUCUUUUCAACUAUGUUACAAACAUUUUGAAUUUUUCUUAGGGACAAUUGGCUAGUAAUGAUAGGGUUAUGUCCUUUCUACACUAGCUAUAUAUGACUAUGAGCCAUGAAAAGAGUGGCCAACAUCACACUCAUGGCAGAUACAUAUGGAUUUCGUGCUCCCACUUACCAAAGUUUUUGAAUAAUCUCUGAUCGUGGCAUAUCAUGAGAUUGAAACGUGUGCCCUAAUUUCCUGAUUAGCUUUUGGUUCUACUUUUGUUGAUUCUCAGGAGGAAAAUAUGAAGCAUUGAAGCUUAAGAAACUUCAAGAUCAGCAUGGGGAAUCCUUGAGUUGGACCGAUUACUUAUCAUUGCCAUUUUCUCAAACAAACAUCAAAGAAUAUGACAUCUGGCUAGCAGCAGAGAAUGAGAUGUUUUUAAACCCUUCAAAGGGAGAAUGGAUGACAACAAUGCCAGAACAACUGAAUAUGGAAAUGGUUGACAGUGUGAAGUAUGUUUUUUUAUUACUUCACGGAAAAAACACCUCGAUCAUAUUUUAAAGAAAGGGAAGCUUCACUUGUAUGGAGUUACCGACAUUCAGAUGUCGAGUUUGGAAGAAUGCAAGCGAGGGACAUGCUGCAACAUCUUUGGACAAGUCCAAUUUCUAAUGCUACUCAAUUGAAAUGAUUUAAAUCAAAGCUUGCGCCAUGUUAUUAAUAAUUUAUUUGAAGCUUUUAUUAUGUAGUUGGCUUCUUAGCUUUCAGAUGAUGCUAAGAUACUUGUAUAUAGCAUUUGAAUCAAUGUGAAUGAGAUCAUAUGACACUACCUCAAUGGAAUUUUCACUUUCUCCCUACUAUGCUUGUCCCUUGUUGUAGAUUUUUUGGUUGCUCGACUCACUCAUAUCACCCUCAAGAGAGAGGCUUGGGUUACCUCUAGUGCCCUUAUUCCUGUUGUUGCUGGAGUUGUCAUUGCAAGUGGGGGCGAGCCAGGCUUUCACUUAUUUGGAUUCAUUAUGUGCCUAAGAUUGCAAGCUUUGCUUCAAAUAAAUAGGACAUUUUCUGACAAAGGUGAAUUAAAUCUUCAUUUGAUAUUUGUUGACAUUUUCUGAAUUACUUUUAUUAGCUAGUUUGUAUUUAUCAUACUUUGUAUUCCUCCAAAUAUUUUGUAUUGAUAGACUGAGGUAAAACCAAUAGUAGAAGCUAUGAUAGCACAAAAAAAAAACAAAAAAAAAAUAAUUCUA